rnacentral:lncRNA from 1 species
CCAAAAUACUUGUCACGUAUAUAAAAAUACCAUAGGAAUCCAAAAUCAGGGUAAAAAAUAUUGGAGUUCCAGUACGAUGGCACUGUCGUACUUCGGCGAUGACACCACUGCCCGCGUCGGCGGUUUGCCUCAACCUGGCUGUUUUUGGCCGGUUUUGGCUGAUUUCAGCCGACUUUAUACAUAUCCAUGCAAAAAAAAAAACCAC